rnacentral:misc_RNA from 1 species
CAAGAGCAAAACCCAUGAUUUGAAAGCUCGUUUGAUGAUAUUCUCUAUGUUAAGGCACAAGAAGAUUCUGAUAAGCUCCAUCUCCCAGAAACUCCAUUCCAUCAUGGGCCAGCAGGAGCAUGGCAAAGAUCAAGAAGAUGGAGAUAAUAACGUAGGAGACCAAAGCAAGGCCAUUGUGCUCUACAACUACGGCUCCAUUUCCCUCCCCAAUCCCACUUUGCUGGAGAAUUAUGAUCACGACGAUGAACUAGACGAUGUCUACGGC